rnacentral:rRNA from 1 species
UACGUAGGGUGCAAGCGUUAAUCGGAAUUACUGGGCGUAAAGCGUGCGCAGGCGGUUUUGUAAGUCUGUCGUGAAAUCCCCGGGCUCAACCUGGGAAUUGCGAUGGAGACUGCAAGGCUAGAAUCUGGCAGAGGGGGGUAGAAUUCCACGUGUAGCAGUGAAAUGCGUAGAGAUGUGGAGGAACACCGAUGGCGCAAGGCAGCC